rnacentral:rRNA from 1 species
GAUGAAUGCUAGCGGCAGGCCUAAUACAUGCAAGUCGAACGGUCCACUUCGGUGGAUAGUGGCGCACGGGUGCGUAACACGUAUGCAACCUACCUUACAUUGGGGGAUAGCCUUUCGAAAGGGAGAUUAAUACCGCAUAAGACAGUAACAUGGCAUCAUGUAGCUGUUAAAGAUUUAUCGAUGUAAGCUGGGCAUGCGUCCAAUUAGUUAGUUGGUGAGGUAAUGGCUCACCGAGACGAUGAUUGGUAGGGGAACUGAGAGGUCAGUCCCCCACACUGGCACUGAGAUACGGGCCAGACUCCUACGGGAGGCAGCAGUAGGGAAUAUUGGGCAAUGGACGCAAGUCUGACCCAGCCAUGCCGCGUGCAGGAAGAAGGCGUUCUGCGUUGUAAACUGCUUUUAUAUAGGAAGAAACGACCCUUGCGAGGGGCAUUGACGGUAUUAUAUGAAUAAGCACCGGCUAACUCCGUGCCAGCCGCCGCAGUAACAC